AACGAACGCUGGCGGCGUGCUUAACACAUGCAAGUCUAGGGGAAUUCGCUUUCGGGCGAUAGUACACUGGCGAACGGGUGAGUAACGCGUGAGAAACCUACCCCGGAGAUUGGGACAACACAGAGAAAUUUGUGCUAAUACCGGAUAAGCCCACGGGUUUAGUUAUUUGUGGGAAAAGACGGGGUAACCUGUCGCUUUGGGAUGGUCUCGCGUGUCAUUAGCUAGUUGGUAGGGUAACGGCCUACCAAGGCAACGAUGACUAGGCGGCCUGAGAGGGUGGCCGCCCACACUGGAACUGAGACACGGUCCAGACUCCUACGGGAGGCAGCAGUGGGGGAUAUUGCACAAUGGAGGAAACUCUGAUGCAGCGACGCCGCGUGAGUGAAGAAGGCCUUCGGGUCGUAAAGCUCUGUCCUAGGGGAAGAUAAUGACGGUACCCUAGGAGGAAGCCCCGGCUAACUACGUGCCAGCAGCCGCGGUAAUACGUAGGGGGCGAGCGUUGUCCGGAAUUACUGGGCGUAAAGAGCUCGUAGGCGGCAGUGUAAGUCGGGAGUUAAAGGCAACAGCUCAACUGUUGUAAGGCUUCUGAAACUACAUUGCUAGAGUGCCAGAGAGGUAUGCGGAAUUCCCUGUGUAGCGGUGAAAUGCGUAGAUAUAGGGAGGAACACCGGUUGCGAAGGCGGCAUACUGGCUGGUAACUGACGCUGAGGAGCGAAAGCGUGGGUAGCAAACA
rnacentral:rRNA from 1 species